rnacentral:rRNA from 1 species
CUACGGGAUGCAGCAGUCGAGAAUCUUCCGCAAUGGGCGAAAGCCUGACGGAGCAAUGCCGCGUGAAUGAUGAAGGCCUUCGGGUUGUAAAGUUCUGUCACCUGGGACGAAAUUUGACGGUACCAGGAGAGGAAGUGACGGCUAAUUACGUGCCAGCAGCCGCGGUAAUACGUAAGUCACGAGCGUUAAUCGGAUUUAUUGGGCGUAAAGGGUCCGCAGGGGGUUUGCUAAGUCUGAUGUGAAAGCCAACGGCUCAACCGUUGAACUGCAUUGGAAACUGGUGAACUGGAGUAUCGGAGAGGAAAGUGGAAUUCCUGGUGUAGCGGUGGAAUGCUUAGAUAUCAGGAGGAACAUCAAUGGCGAAGGCAGCUUUCUGGACGAUUACUGACCCUCAUGGACGAAAGCGUGGGUAGCAAACAGGAUUAGAUACCCGUGUAGUC